GACGAACGCUGGCGGCGUGCCUAAUACAUGCAAGUAGAACGCAGUUGCGAACGGGUGAGUAACGCGUAGGUAACUGCCUCAUAGCGGGGGAUAACUAUUGGAAACGAUAGCUAAUACCGCAUACUGUGAGAUGGACCUGCGUUGUAUUGGCUAGUUGGUGAGGUAAAGGCUCACCAAGGCGACGAUACAUAGCCUACCUGAGAGGGUGAUGGGCCAAACUGGGACUGAGAACAGGCCCAGAAUCCCACGGGAGGGAGCAGUAGGGAAUUUUCGGAAAUGGACGGCAGUCUGACCGAGGAACGCCGGGGGAGUGAAGAAGGUGUUCGGAUCGUAAAGCUCUGUUGGUAGAGAAGCGGUAACUAAACAGAAAGGGACGGCUAACUACGUGCCAGCAGCCGCGGUAAUUC
rnacentral:rRNA from 1 species